AGGUUGAAAUGAUGAAGAUUGUGUACCUCCUGCUGCUGUUGUUGGGCGUAGUGAUGGCGUCGUAUGAUGAGGACGAAGGGGCCACCAUGCUGGCUAAGAUCUACCAGCGACAGGACCAGAUGCUGCAGCAAGUGGAAGCCCUAUCCAAAACAGUGUCAAAGGCUGCUGAUGCCACGCGUGGAGGUAAGAGGAGCGGAGGUCAUAAGAGGUCGUCGUUCUCAAGACACAGAG